CCUACGGGUGGCAGCAGUGGGGAAUAUUGGGCAAUGGGCGCAAGCCUGAUCCAGCAACGCCGCGUGAAGGAAGAAGGAAUUCGGGAUGUAAACUUCUAUUCGCAGGGACGAAGAAAGUGAUGGUACCUGAGGAAGAAGCCACUGCCAACUACGCGCCAGCAGCCGCGGUAAUACGUAGGUGGCAAGCGUUAGCCGGUUUUAUUGGGUGUAAAGGGCGCGUAGACGGGAGCGCAAGUCAGAAGUGAAAAGUCACGGCUCAACCCUGUGCCUGUAUUUGAAAAUGUGUUACUAGAGUGCUGGAGAGGUAAGCGGAAUUCCGUGUGUAGCGGUGAAAUGCGUAGAUAUUCGGAGGAACACCAGUGGCGAAGGCGGAUUGCUGGACAGUAACUGACGCUGAGGCGCGAAAGCGUGGGGAGCAAACAGGAUUAGAUACCCCAGUAGUC
rnacentral:rRNA from 1 species